AGAUGAAGUUAGCCUUCUCAGCUAGCCUUUAGAUUUGUCUGUUAACAGUAGAAAUGCUAUAAUAAAUCGGUAACAUAUGUUGCCAGGCAGGGAAAAGUGGUAGACAAGAGCCUGGGAGACCAAGCCAAGUACCAUGUGAAAGAAUUCAAAUUUCAAUCUAUUUGCUGCUAAUUACCAUCUGAAAAGUAAUUUGAAAGUGUUGUUACUUGCUUAUAUUCUUCCUCAUUUUUCUUUCUUUCUUUCUUUUUUUUUUUUUUUCUCUUCAGAUUGCUUUCUUACCCAAAUUAUCUCCGUGAUUGCCUGUCCUGAGGCUUUGGGCCAAUGCAAACUACGGAAUGGCAAGUCUUACAAUCUUGUCUGUCCUUGUCUGGCAUCCAUCCUCCUUCCAGAGUGAACAGAGGUAUAUCCAUAAGCACUGGACACUGAUUUCACAGCCUCGUCCAAAGCCAGGCAAUUCUUGAGGCAAACAAACAAAGGGGUGUGAGUGAUUUCAUUUAUUUUGAUAAUCCUCUGUCUGCACAGGGGCACUUUGCUGUCUUUGUCAAAGUGAAUGACAACAAUUUGGCCAACUCUCUCUGAGCUGCACUCAACAGUGACAGGCAAAUUAUCAGA
ensembl:lincRNA Gm28401 predicted gene 28401